rfam:Arabidopsis thaliana chromosome 3, complete sequence.
AGAUGCGAUCAUACCAGCACUAAUGCACCGGAUCCCAUCAGAACUCCGCAGUUAAGUGUGCUUGGGCGAGAGUAGUACUAAGAUGGGUGACCUCGAAGAAUGUCCUCGUGUUGCAUCCC